rnacentral:rRNA from 1 species
UACGUAGGGGGCGAGCGUGGUCCGAAGUUACUGGGCGUAAAGCGCGCGUAGGCGGUCAUUUAAGUCUGAGGUGAAAGGUUCAGGGCUCAACGUGAACAGUGCCUUGGAUACUGGGUGACUUGAGUUCGGGAGGGGGCAGUGGAAUUCCAGGUGUAGCGGUGAAAUGCGUAGAUAUCUGGAGGAACACCGAUGGCGAAGGCAGCUGCCUGGCCCAGAACUGACGCUGAGGUGCGAAAGCGUGGGGAGCGAACGGG